UACGGAGGAGGCAAGCGUUAUCCGGAAUUAUUGGGCGUAAAGCGUCCGUAGGUGGCUCUUCAAGUCUGCUGUCAAAGAGUGGGGCUUAACCCUGCAAAGGCAGUGGAAACUGAAAGGCUAGAGAGCCGUAGGGGUAGAGGGAAUUCCCGGUGUAGCGGUGAAAUGCGUAGAGAUCGGGAAGAACAUCGGUGGCGAAAGCGCUCUACUGGACGGUAUCUGACACUGAGACGCGACGGCGUGGGGAGCAAACCGG
rnacentral:rRNA from 1 species